GGGAAGGUUUAAUACAGAUGGAGGGAUAAGGAGUAUGAAAAGGAUCAGUCUCAGAGUGUUCUGUAAGGUUUGUGUCCUUCCAACAAUUCUCUUGGAUAAGAGGAGAGAAAAUUUGCUGAGCUGCAAGGAGGUGAAGGGAUGUGACUUCUACUGGAUGUUGCAAGCUUAUGCUGAGGUUUCUAAAGGGACCAAGGCUUACAUCACCAUCUGUUUCCUCCUGACUGUGCUAUUGAAUUCCAGGCCAUCUUUGAUACAGCAGGAAGAGUCUAGAAAUCAGUUACUUUCCUGUGUAUAGAAGGGGACACUAAAGUAGAUAUACUCAAAAUAAAUAAAGGGAUGAAGUGCUGGAGAGAUGACUG
ensembl:lncRNA